UUCUUGAGUGAGCCAGCUAAAGGCCUUCCCUUUCUAAAAGGCAAGAUCUUGAAAUUAGGGGAAGUGGGUGAAGCGUUAUCUGUAUGACCUUUUAAAAGAAGGGUUUUAAGGGUGUGAAGAGCAGAGGCUGGUGAAAAUGGAUCACUUGGUUUAGGGGUUUUUAGCUUAAUGGGGUUGCCUGCAAAGGCAUGAGUCUUGAACAAAUUCAUGGACAAGUGUGGGUGACUGUGUAGUAAUCUUGGGUUUUUGGAGAGGGAGACAAGUUGGGAAGAAUUUGAGAAGGAAAGCCGAAAGAUCAUUGCUUCAACUACCUAUCAAUAUCAUUGGUGUUUCCUCAACAAAGGAAGAUUCGGUGGUGAGUCGAUGAGGUUGGUGUAUGACAUCUGUACUUUUGGCUCCUCCUAUUGUGUCCCCUGCGCCACCACGUUGUCUUGUACUUCGCCACAAUUUCAUUUGUACACCUUGGACUCUUUCCCGCUAGGUGCUUUUCUUGUAGUACUAUUUAUUUUUGGUGCGUACUCAUAUUGGAUUGAUUAAUUCGAAUUUCACAUUAUUGUAUUAAUUUUUUAAGCUUAAACUCAAAAUUUCUAAUUAAAGGUGAAGAAAUCUCGAUGAAUCUUUUAUUCGGUAUUUGCUGUGAGGCUUUUUUCUUAUACUUUCAAAGUAUGAGUAAUACCUCAUUAAUUACUUCAAAAACUGUGUAUUCUCUUCUUUGUGAUUUUUAUGUAUUUCUCACCUCUCUAACAUAGAGUUGCUAAACUAAAACGCCCAUCACACUUUUAGUUUAUUGGGUAUUUGUCACGACUCAAAACCUAACCAUGAUCGUGAUGGCGUUUAUCGUGUUAUAAGACAAACCUAUUUCCUAAAAUAUUACUACUAAUUUGAUUAUUAAAAUUUAAUAAAAUAUUUCACAUUUAAAUUUUUCAUAAACUAUAACAACUCUAAAUAUAACAUAGAAAAAUACGGAAACGAACCCCAAACAUCAGAGUGUCACUAAGUCAUGAGCGUCUAAAACUAUAAACUAAGAUAUAUAAACUGUCUAACUGUCCAAAAGAAGAAAUGACAAGAGGAGUAACAAGGUCCUGCGGACACUAACAACUAACUUGCAAUCUCCACAGAUAGCCAGCCUGAACUCAACGAUCGCCGCGCU
rnacentral:lncRNA from 1 species